rnacentral:lncRNA from 1 species
AAACACCAUGGAGGGGCUUCUUCAAGCUGGUUGUUCAUAUUUUUACUACAAGUAAGUUCAAUUCUUGACUAUUUCUUGAAAUUUUUGUAUUUUUAUGACUUUUACAACUAGGCUCACUUGUUAAAUUCAUUAGUUUUUAAUUUUAUGAAAGAAGUUGAAAGUUGAUAUGAAUAUGUGCUGAAAGUAUAUGAUGAUUUAGCAUGGAAUUAGAGCUUUAAAUUGUUCAUAUGCUGAUUUUAUCGAAAGAAUUGAAUAGAAAGUGAAUGUUUGGGACCUAAUAGUAAAAGAGUUUUAAGAUAGGGUUAUAUGUGGAAAUUCUGAAUUUCAAUAGUUGUGUAACAACUUAUAAUGUCUAGUAAAGUAUUAAUUGAGAAAAUUAGAUUAAUUGAGGGGUUAAUUGAGAAAGGACCGGAUUGUAUAAACUGUGAAAUUUGGGGCAAAAUGGAAAUCAACAUUUUGCAUUAAAGCAGUUUUGGACAGUAGCAGUAGUGUAACUUUGAAAAAUCACAAAAAAAUUGUAAAGAUUGAAUUAGAGGAUGAAUAAACUAUGAAAUUAAAGCUUAUUGAGUCUAGUUUCUUAUAAAAGAAACGGUGUGAGCAAUGGAAUUGUAAAUCAUAAGAUAUAAUAGAUUUUGUGAGACAAGGUCAGAAUGAAUUCGGGUUCCCCUGUUCUGACUUUGGAAAAUCAUUAAAAAUUAUAGAAAAAUGAUUAUGAGUUAUAAUUUAUAUGGUUAGAAUCCUUAAUGAGUCUAUUUUUAGAAGAAACAAAUAUAAAUAUCAUCCAAAUUCUGUACAAUGAGAUAAUUAAUUUUUAGUGAAGAAUGGUCGGAACUGUCAGACAGCAAAACAGGGGAAACUUUAAAGAAUAAAAUGUACUGUUUGGCUGAAUCAAAAAUUCUGAAAAUUUUAUGGUAAGAAUUUAUGUGAGUCUAGUUUUGGGGAAAAUUAACGGAUCUUAAUUUGGAGCUCUGUAGCUCCGGAUAAAAAUAAUUUAGUGACUCUGACUCGGAUAAACAGUUUUGAAUAUACAUGUGAGUGAAUAGUGAAAUUAUAGCUAAUGUUGUUUAAGUGUGUUAUGCACAUUAAGGAUGUGGAAUGGAGAGGAGGAGGAGGAAAAUUGGGAAAUAUAUGAAUGAUUCGUGUAUAAAUGGUCAUAUGUUUGAUUAUAACUGAUAAACGAUGAAAUAUGAAUGAUGCUUAUUUUUGUGCAUUAUUGGUCAUGGUUUAAGCUCAUGUGUGAAAAUAAAGUUUCAUAGUAUGUGUGUAUGGUAUAUUCAGUAUAUGAUUUGGCAUGAAAUAAUACCAUGAAUGGUUAAUGAAUUAACACAUGUUGGUAAGCCUGAUAUAUGAAUAAAUGAUCAAAUUGAGCGGAACGCCGGAUUUGAGUACUUCUGAUCAAGUGACAAAGUGAUAAGCGGUAGCUUUAGCUACACUUAUCUGAUCAAGUGACAAGUGAAAAGUGAUAAGUGAUAGCUUCGGCUAUACUUAUCUGAUCAAGUGACAAAGUGAUAAGUGAUAGCUUCAGCUACACUUAUCUGAUCAAGUGACAAGUGAUAGCUUCGGCUACACUUAUCUGAUCAAGUGACAAGUGAAAAGUGAUAAGUGAUAGCUUCGGCUAUACUUAUCUGAUCAAUAGACAAAGUGAUAAGUGAUAGCUUUAGCUACACUUAUCUGAUCAAGAGACAAAGUGAUAAGUGGCUACACUUAUCUGAUCAAGAAACAAAUUGAUAAGUGGCUACACUUAUCUGAUCAAGAAACAAAGUGAUAAGUGGCUACACUUAUCUGAUCAAGAAACAAAGUGAUAAGUGGCUACACUUAUCUGAUCAGUGACAAGUGAUAAGUGAUCAUACGUAAGACCAUAGUUAUACUAUGGCAAAGUGAAAGUGAAGUACUCAAUUUUCCGUAACCGUUCCCUAAUUUGAUUAAGUAUGGUAAGUGACAAAUGGGCCCAAAAGAAUUAAAGUAAAUGAAUAAGUGGUAGCGUAUUUAUAUCAGGACGAUGUUGUUAUUCAAGAUAAAGUGAUAUUUUCAUUGCAAAAUUCAGAAUUUCAUAAAUGUGUUAUUGAAUGAUAUAAUCAAUAAACAUUGAGUUAAAUGGUAAAUACGUAUUAAUGUUGAACUUGAUGUCAUUGAAUUGUACGUGAAUUAAAUGGAAAUUGCUAGUGAUAUGAUUUAAAUUGUGAGCAUGACAAAUUGCGAAUUGAAUAAAAUGGAAAUGAAGCAUUGAAUUGCAUGAGUAUGUAUCGGGUCUCAUAGGCCUUAAUUAUUAUGAUUAUAAUAUUUCGAGGAUAUAUUGUGAAAAGUUAUAGAAGCAUGUUAAUUAUUUUGAAGGUUUUAAUUUAGAUGAAAUUUUAUAACUCGGUUAAAUACGCUUACAAGUGUAUGUGUUUUGGUGAUACCUCGUACCCUAUUCCGGUGUUAGAUACGGGUAAGGGGUGUUACAAUAUAAAUAUGAAAUGAGAAUUAAAUUGAAUACUAUAAGUAUAAAAUGGAUUGAAAUUGUUUAUUUAGAUCAAAAUAAACCACGUACGAACCUAGAUUGAGGCAAAGUAAAAGCUUUAGAUUAGAUCAAUUUAACUUCUACGCCCCUAGUCGUCGAGGUAAGUUUGUAUGAACAAUUAUUGUAUUACUUAAAUUGUAUGUUAUUAUGUUAUUUAUAAUGUUAAUUGAGUGAUGUAUAAAGAAAUCAAUGCUAUGACAGUUAUCAAGUCCUAAUUGAACUUUAAGAAUUCGUAGGAUACAAAUGACAUGUCAUUAGGGAUUUCAUGUUUCAGGUACUGGUCUUGAAUGUCCUAUCGAUGGCUGAGGUCCCACAUUGUUACGGAUACUCCACAGCUCGUGUGAAUAGCAUCAUGAAGCUUACAUUUUGACUCGCAUCUUGUGUGAGCAGGCCCAUUUCACAACUCGUGUGAGCAAUGAUGUAAAGGAAAUGUUACGGUUAUAUAUAAAGGCACACUUCGUGUGAGCUUACUCGAGUAUCCGAUGAAAUUCUAGAUGAUUCAAUGG